rnacentral:rRNA from 1 species
GCGUGCCUUUUGUAGAAUGAACCGGCGAGUUACGAUUUGAUGCAAGGUUAAGCAGUAAAUGUGGAGCCGUAGCGAAAGCGAGUCUGAAUAGGGCGUUUAGUAUUUGGUCGUAGACCCGAAACCAGGUGAUCUACCCUUGGUCAGGUUGAAGUUCAGGUAACACUGAAUGGAGGACCGAACCGACUUACGUUGAAAAGUGAGCGGAUGAACUGAGGGUAGCGGAGAAAUUCCAAUCGAACCUGGAGAUAGCUGGUUCUCUCCGAAAUAGCUUUAGGGCUAGCCUCAAGUGAUGAUUAUUGGAGGUAGAGCACUGUUUGGACGAGGG